rnacentral:lncRNA from 12 species
GUUUAAUGUGUGUUGACAAAAAGUAACUCCAACUGUAUUAAUGGAAUAAACUCAGUCCAUGGUAACAACUUUCAAAUCACAGGGAUCUCAGAAUUAAAGAUUUACUCUUAUGCAUUAAAUACAUCCAUUGCAGAUCAGCAGCCAUGUCUGUUUCUUGCAUCAUUUGUGAGCCUGACAGAGGGAUCUACACAAGAUGCUGUGGCAAGAUAUCAUAAACAGAAUGCAUCACUGGUCCUAUUUGCAUUCCUGAUGUUUUGUAAGGCAUAUUUGAUGCUUCUCUGCUAUCACCUUUACAGAAGUGGCUGCUCCAAGCAGAGAGGCAAAACAUCUUCAAAGUCUCCUGCUGACUUAGUGAACACUGAAAAGACUUUCAAACAGCACCACCAGGAAGUCUCAACACAAGAAAAAAGAGUGGACUCCUAUGGAAUGUUGCAGUCAAAUACAUCCAUCUUCCAGUUGCUUGCAAAAAUCAGUGUCUGCUAAUCAAGAGAAAUUCCUUCCUUGUCCUGGAUCUUGGUCUUUACAUUUUCUAUUGUAUUUGGGGGUUCAACCUUAAGAAUGAUGGUCUUCCCCAUAAGAUUUUUUCAUGAAAAUCUGCAUCUUGGCAGAGGUUCCACCACAGAUGAUGGAUCAAAAAGGGAUUCUAUAAUAUUUUUUAUUUAGUAAUUGCAAUUUUAUACAUUUAGGCAGUUAUAUUUUCCGC